rnacentral:sRNA from 1 species
CUCUACCACUGAGCUAAAUCCCCAACCCCGAUAUACUUUCUUAAGGAAUAUGAAGGUUCUAGGUUUGCUUUGCAGCAACUCUCACUCAAUUAUUCCAAUCGAAGAACAAUUUUAUUUUACUUAUUUAUGUGGUCUGGUGCACAGCAUGAGAAGUUUGCGCUCCUGAAACGUUAUAGAGGAGUUCCUCAAGAGGAAAGGAAGUGGCCAAGCCUCUCUUGCUUUCUUUCCCACCUAUUUACCACAGUGCUUUCUGCCCCAGGGAGUGUAAAAGUGCUCUCAGAGCCCAAAGGGCUAGGUCGUGGACCAGCCGCUCCGAGAUGACGUAAUGCUUUCUGUGGUACACAAAGCGGCCUCCCCCAGGCUGGGCCUCUCCAGCCCCUCCCCCAGGCCAGGAUUGCCUCCCCUGCCAGCACCGGCGCGGAUGCUCCAGGGAUGCUCUGAGCUAAGGAUGCAGGUGCAGUCAGACUGGUCCUGAUGAGACAUAGGCUCCGCCUCUUUCCGAAUGGCCCUCGGCAGAAGACUCCGCCUCUGCCCGAAAGAUUCCGGAAGCUCUUCGAGAGAAGACCCCUCCCACUGCCGAGUUUUCCCGAAGACGAGGCUCCGCCCAUUCCCAGGCUGUGGGCGUUUGUGGCUAGAAUUUCAAAGCCCAAUAAAAAGUGUAGGUGUCACUGCUAGCUCAGUCACACAUUCCUGUGUGACUAUAGCAGUCGAGUGGGUGAGGAAGGAGAGUCAAGGGCAGUCUUGGAUAGGUCUCCAAAUACAGAAGGGAGGAAGAUAGUCGCUUUAGCGUCUUCUGAAGCUGUAAUUCUUGUUGCCUGGGUUUAUAUAGAUAGAAACUGAACCUUCUGGGUUUGAGAAAUUGUGAAAAAAAAAAAACUAUACUGUUUUUCAGUAUCGAUGACCAUUAUUUUAGAGCACUCCUGAAACAGUAAAGGGAUUUAUAGAAAUUUAGACCUGAGAAACUGACUAAAGAUCAAUCCUGGGCAGAAGCAUGACGAUUAUGAGUUUUGGGCCAGUCUGAGGUAUAUAACAAGAACCAAUCUCAAAAAAGCAAAAAACAAUAAUAAAGACCUAAAACCUUC